GACGAACGCUGGCGGCGUGCUUAACACAUGCAAGUCGAACGGAAGGGCCCUGCGUUUGUUUGUUUCUCGUUUGGCGAACGGGUGAGUAACACGUGUGUAACCUGCCCUUGACUUUGUGAUAACUUCAGGAGACUGGGGCUCAUACCGGGUAUAAUCUUUUGCUGCAUGUUGUUGGUUGGUGAGUUUCGGCGUUUCGGGAUGGACUCGCUGCUUAUCAGCUUGUUUGGGGGGUAGUGGCUUUCCAAGGCUUUGACGGGUAGCCGGCCUGAGAGGGUGACCGGCCACAUUGGGACUGAGAUACGGACCAGAAGCCUACGGGAGGCAGCAGUGGGGAAUAUUGCAGAAUGGGCGGAAGCCUGAUGCAGCAACGCCGCGUGCGGGAUGACGGCCUUCGGGUUGUAAACCGAUUUCGCCUGUGACGAAGCGUGAGUGACGGUAAUGGGUAAAGAAGCACCGGCUAACUACGUG
rnacentral:rRNA from 1 species